rnacentral:misc_RNA from 1 species
AUGUUUGUGCAGAAUAGA